rnacentral:rRNA from 1 species
UACGAAGGGGGCUAGCGUUGCUCGGAAUCACUGGGCGUAAAGCGCACGUAGGCGGAUCUUUAAGUCGGGGGUGAAAGCCCGGGGCUCAACCUCGGAAUUGCCUUCGAUACUGGACGUCUUGAGUACGGGAGAGGUGAGUGGAACUCCGAGUGUAGAGGUGAAAUUCGUAGAUAUUCGGAAGAACACCAGUGGCGAAGGCGACUCACUGGCCCGUUACUGACGCUGAGGCGCGAAAGCGUGGGGAGCAAACAGG